GCAAGUCGAACGCGAACGGAAUCUUCGGAUAGGCGACGACCGGCGCACGGGUGCGUAACACGUAUGCAACCUACCUUGUACAGGGGAAUAGCCCAGAGAAAUUUGGAUUAAUGCCCCAUAGUAUUACGAAAUCGCAUGGUUUUGUAAUUAAAGAUUUAUUGGUACAAGAUGGGCAUGCGACCCAUUAGAUAGUUGGUGAGGUAACGGCUCACCAAGUCCGCGAUGGGUAGGGGUUCUGAGAGGAUGAUC
rnacentral:rRNA from 1 species